rnacentral:rRNA from 1 species
UACGUAGGUGGCAAGCGUUGUCCGGAAUUAUUGGGCGUAAAGCGCGCGCAGGCGGCCUUUUAAGUCUGAUGUGAAAGCCCACGGCUCAACCGUGGAAGGUCAUUGGAAACUGAAAGGCUUGAGUACAGAAGAGGAAAGCGGAAUUCCACGUGUAGCGGUGAAAUGCGUAGAGAUGUGGAGGAACACCAGUGGCGAAGGCGACUCUUUGGCCUGUAACUGACACUGAGGCGCGAAAGCGUGGGGAGCAAACAGG